GAAGCCUUAGUAACAAACAUUACAUGGCCCUGUCAGUGCCAAAUUAUGGGCAUUCAGACCCAUAGGCCUCA
rnacentral:tRNA from 1 species